GACGAACGUUGGCGGUGCGCUUAAUGCAUGCAAGUCGAGGGAGAAGGCCUCGAUUCGUAAGAAUCGAGGUUGGAAACCGGCGAACGGGUGCGUAACACGUGAGAAACCUGCCCCCCAGACCCGGGAUAGCCCAGGGAAACUUGGAUUAAUACCGGAUACUCUCUUUGGAUCGCAUGAUCCGUUGAGGAAACAGUCCGCUGCUGGGGGAUGGUCUCGCGGCCUAUCAGCUUGUUGGUGAGGUAACGGCUCACCAAGGCGAAGACGGGUAGCUGGUCUGAGAGGACGAUCAGCCACACUGGAACUGAGACACGGUCCAGACUCCUACGGGAGGCAGCAGCAGGGAAUAUUGCACAAUGGGCGAAAGCCUGAUGCAGCGACACCGCGUGCGGGAUGACGGCCUUAGGGUUGUAAACCGCUCUCAGGAGGGAAGAAAAUGACGGUACCUCCAGAAGAAGCUCCGGCCAACUACGUG
rnacentral:rRNA from 1 species